rnacentral:snRNA from 1 species
GUGCUCGCUUCAGCAGCACAUAUACUAAAACUGGAACGAUACAGAAAAGAUUAGCGCGGCCCCUGUACAAGGAUGACACGCGAAUUUGUGAAGCAUUCCAUAUUUUU